rnacentral:lncRNA from 1 species
UGAGGAUUUGGUGUACACAAGACACCAACACAAAGGAGAAGACGUGAUUUGCUGGAUGAAGAAAUUGUGUUGUAAAACAUUUUUUUUUUAUUUUUUAUUAUUUUGGACAUGUAACUUUUGGAUAUUUAAACAUUUUUUGGGUAGCGUGUACUGAGGGAUGCUAAUUUUUAUGUAUCUACUGAAGGAUACAGGUAAGCACACCUACUGAAGGGUGUUGGGAAGCACACUGAUGAGUGCUAGACAGCUUUGGGUCAGGCUCGUGACGUUAAACAAGCGCUACUUGGGAGGUAACCCAGUUGAUUAUUUCUUGUUUUUAACUUUCUUCUAAGUGCAUU